rnacentral:lncRNA from 1 species
UGAGUGCCAAGAUGAAACAAGAUAUACCAAAAAAAAUUUUCCCCGGUUUAGUGUUUGGGAAAAUGAGCAUAGGGGUAUGGAUCCAUGAAAAUAAGGGUGAACAUAUCAAAUGAGACUUGCAAAUCUGUCCCAGUCUUGGUAUCAUGGGUUGAUGAAAAAUUUGUAUGAGGCUCACAAAGCUGCCCUAGUCUUGGGUCAUGGGUUAAUGAAAAAUUUGUAUGAGACUCCCAAAGCUGCCCCAGUCUUUUCCUUGGCAAAGGGUUCCGUUUGGAAGAGGUAGUGGGCAUGAAAAAGAUCGGCUAAAAGGACGACCCCAAUUGGUUUGAUUUUCUUUUAUAUGCUUCUGGCUAGUUGGCAAGGA